ACUAACUAGGAUUCCUCAGUAGCUGCGAGCGAACAGGGAUGAGCCCAGCACCGAAUCCCGCGSCCGAUAUCGGGCGCCGGGAAAUGUGGUGUUAGGGAGGAUCCGUUUAUCCCGAGGUCGUGCGGUGCGUCCAAGUCCUUCUUGAACGGGGCCACAGCCCAUAGAGGGUGCCAGGCCCGUAGUGACCGCUGCCGAUCGCGGGAGGAUCUCUCCUCARAGUCGGGUUGCUUGAGAGUGCAGCCCUAAGUGGGUGGUAAACUCCAUCUAAGGCUAAAUAUGACCACRAGACCGAUAGCGAACAAGUACCGUGAGGGAAAGUUGAAAAGCACUUUGAAGAGAGAGUUCAAGAGUACGUGAAACCGUUCAGGGGUAAACCUGAGAAACCCGAAAGGUCGAAAGGGGAAAUUCAUUCGCGUUUCGGCCGUCGGAGUGGAGCGUUCGCGUGACGGACGGCGUACGCGUCGUCCGCGCCUUUCGUUCCGCGAUCCGGCGUCGAACGCGUGCACUUUUCCCCUAGUAGGACGUCGCGAUCCGUUGGGUGUCGGUCUAAGGUCCGCGGUGGAGCCCGGGCGUACGUUUUCGGACGUUCGCGCUCGGACCCGUGGUGUCCCGGCCGACUCGCUCGACGGUAUACAGAUGGCGCGGGGCCGCUACUCUCGAGUUAGCGUUCGGCCCGCGGCAAGACCGUACGGUGUUUAGGCGGCGAUCGGACCUGGUGCCGAUCCCGUCCCCGGACGACUGCUGGCCGCGGUGUUCUCGAACAGACCUCGUUAUGAAACGCCGAUCUGCGACGCUAUAGCUUUGGGUACUUUCAGGACCCGUCUUGAAACACGGACCAAGGAGUCUAGCAUGUGCGCGAGUCAUUGGGACAUUACUAAACCUAAAGGCGUAAUGAAAGUGAAGGUCCGUCUCGCGCGGACCGAGGGAAGAUGGGCGGUUCGUACCUCGUGCGGCCGCUCCGCAUUCCCGGGGCGUCUCGUUCUCAUCGCGAGAAGAGGCGCACCAAGAGCGUACACGCUGGGACCCGAAAGAUGGUGAACUAUGCCUGGUCAGGACGAAGUCAGGGGAAACCCUGAUGGAGGUCCGUAGCGAUUCUGACGUGCAAAUCGAUCGUCGGAACUGGGUAUAGGGGCGAAAGACUAAUCGAACCAUCUAGUAGCUGGUUCCCUCCGAAGUUUCCCUCAGGAUAGCUGGCGCUCGUCGCGUACGAGUUUCAUCCGGUAAAGCGAAUGAUUAGAGGCAUUGGGGUCGAAACGACCUCAACCUAUUCUCAAACUUUAAAUGGGUGAGAUCUCCGGCUUGCUCGAACUAAUUAUAUGAAGCCGCGAGACUCGAAUCAGAGUCCA
rnacentral:rRNA from 1 species